rnacentral:rRNA from 1 species
GACAGAGGUGGCAAGCGUUGUUCGGAAUUACUGGGCGUAAAGGGUGUGUAGGCGGUUAGAUAAGUCAGUGGUGAAAUCCUACGGCUUAACCGUAGAACUGCCUUUGAAACUGUCUGACUAGAGUGCAGGAGAGGAGGGUGGAAUUCCCGGUGUAGAGGUGAAAUUCGUAGAUAUCGGGAGGAACAUCAGUGGCGAAGGCGGCCCUCUGGACUGCAACUGACGCUGAGACACGAAAGCGUGGGGAGCAAACAGG